rnacentral:snRNA from 1 species
GUGCUUGCUUCUGCAGCACAUGUACUAAAAUUGGAAAGGUACAGAGAUUAGCAUGGUCCCUGCGCAAGGAUGACACACAAAUUCAUGAAGUGCUCCCAAAACAU